UGGACCUGGCGACGCCGGUCGGCGAGGUUUCGCCCACCGGCGUUUUUGGC
rnacentral:sRNA from 1 species